UACGGCCAUAUAAUGUUGAAACACCAGUUUUCGUACAAUCACAGAUGUUAAGAAACAUUGAGCCUGGCCAGUACCUAGAAGGGUGACCGCAUAGAAAUACCAGGUGCUGUGA